GAUGAACGCUGGCGGCGUGCCUAAUACAUGCAAGUCGAGCGAACAGACGAGGAGCUUGCUCCUCUGACGUUAGCGGCUGACGGGUGAGUAACACGUGGAUAACCUACCUAUAAGACUGGGAUAACUUCGGGAAACCGGAGCUAAUACCGGAUAAUAUAUUGUACCGCAUGGUUCAAUAGUGCAUGACGGUUUUGCUGUCUCUUAUAGAUGGAUCCGCGCCGCAUUAGCUAGUUGGUAAGGUAACGGCUUACCAAGGCGACGAUGCGUAGCCGACCUGAGAGGAUGAUCGGCCACACUGGAACUGAGACACGGUCCAGACUCCUACGGGAGGCAGCAGUAGGGAAUCUUCCGCAAUGGGCGAAAGCCUGACGGAGCAACGCCGCGUGAGUGAUGAAGGUCUUCGGAUCGUAAAACUCUGUUAUUGGGAAAGAACAAAUGUGUAAGUAUCUAUGCACGUCUUGACGGUACCUAAUCAGAAAGCCACGGCUAACUACGUG
rnacentral:rRNA from 1 species